GGAGCUGCUGGCCCGGCGCGAGCCGCGGGCCCGGCGGGGCCGCCCCGGCCCGGUCGCCGCCGGGCGGGGCGGGAUCGGGCCCGGCCAGCGCCGCC
rnacentral:tRNA from 1 species